rnacentral:misc_RNA from 1 species
AAAAGAUGUUGCUUCUUCCGUCACUGCACUUGCAAAUGAAAAACUAAAGGCAGAGAAGGAAGCCAAUGCUGGUAAAAAGAAGACGGCUGUGAAGAAGAAGCAGCUCCAUGUUGAAAAGGCAGAUGAUGACUUGAUUGUCAAUACGUAUGAUGAUGUCGAUGAUUACGACUUCAUGUAAUUGUUCCAGUUCAGCUUAUCUAUUGCGAGUAUCAUCAGUUUGACCUGCGAAUGGAGAGAUGGUUGGAGUCGCCUUUGAGAAUGUACAAGAAUGCGUGGUCAUUUCAACUCAG